CACUUGCGUCUUUAGCUCAAUAAAUAUUAGAGGUGCUUUAUUUGGGCCAAUAUUUGCGCUAGAUAGCGCGUAUU